UACGUAGGGGUCGAGCGUUGUCCGGAGUUACUGGGCGUAAAGCGUGCGCAGGCGGUUAUGUAAGACAGGUGUGAAAUCCCCGGGCUUAACCUGGGAACUGCAUUUGUGACUGCAUAGCUAGAGUACGGUAGAGGGGGAUGGAAUUCCGCGUGUAGCAGUGAAAUGCGUAGAUAUGCGGAGGAACACCGAUGGCGAAGGCAAUCCCCUGGACCUGUACUGACGCUCAUGCACGAAAGCGUGGGGAGCAAACAGG
rnacentral:rRNA from 1 species